UUCUUCUUUUUCUUCUUCUUCUCAAAAAAUCUUUCCAUGGAGAAACAAGGAAGAGAUCUCAAGUUCAGAUCCCAAUGUUACUUAUGCUUUUUCCAGUGCCAUAUAAGAAAAACAAUGAUAGAGGAUCAAUACAGUGCUUUGAUAUUGCUUCAUCAAGAGUUGAUUUUUAUGCAUAAUCUUCAUCGAAAAUUUCAAGAACAGAUCAUGGCAUAUGUUUGAACUUCUCUGAUUUAUUUUUUUAAGAGUGAAAUAUAGAUUUCUGAUUUGCCAUAUUGUCUUUCUCUUGAAUUUGUAUGGAUUCGAUAUUGAUAAAGUGCUUUUCCUAAUGUGUUAGCUAGAAGAUUUGCCUUCUUAACCAAAUCGUGACUAGAGAACAGAGAAGUGUUGUUGUGUUUAAAAGGUUGUGAGAUUUAAUAAUUUAUAUUAAUUAUUUUUAGUGACAGUGUCAAAACCAAGAAUGGUGAACAGUAGUGGAUUUGAAUACAACUAAUCUAUCUCAGAUUCAAGGAGAAGACCAAAGAAAAAUGUGGAAUGAUCCUUCUUAUAACUGUUUAUACUCUCCUAUAUGCUUUUUUUCAUAUGUAACUUAGCAAGAAAACUUUAUUUUCAUUCUGCUUGAUUUUUAAAUUAAGUCUGCAUUUGAAGAAUAUGUUAAAACUCAGUUAUCCUGCAUCCAUCCUCACACGAAUUUUUGACAAUUGCAGUUGAUAUUCUAUAAUGAUGGGAAAAGUUGUUCAUAUUAAAUGGAGGGAACUGUUUAAUCCUUUCUAUCAUGAACCAGAAACUGUUAGUAGAAUUCACUCUUUUUUUAGCCAUAUGAUCAAGACUUCUUCAAUUCUUGGAGGAUUAUGAUGGACAAAAUAAGAUCAACUUUGUUAAAGAGAAAGUUAUGGUAUUUCCCUCAGAAAGCUGCUAAUAUAAAUGUACUCUUUAGUUGAGAAAUGUAGGAAGAAAGGGGUCAUCUGGAACUAUAGGAAACAGAAAAUUGAUUUCUAAAUUCAGUAGCACCAGCUUGCCAAGUUGAAUCUUUGCUAAUUACAAUAUUCUUCCUUUCCUUAUGUUUCCCCAUUACUUUUUAACCAUGCUACUAUAGUUUUUUCGACCUUUUUUCUCUGCCUUUGGCAUCAUAUAGAUCCACUUUGAAUUUACUGAAAUCCACAUUGGCAGGAGAGGGAGAAUACAAAGUAUGGCUCUAAAACAAUAAUCAUGAUGAAUUACAAAUCGGAUAGGAUGCUAAAAUCAACAUCUUAGCCUGCAGUUUUGUAUACUUAAAAAGAUGCAUAGCAACAUGCCGUUCUUAAUUUUUGGCUAAUUAAGAAAACUGUCAUA
rnacentral:misc_RNA from 1 species